CUCCGGUGCAGAGGCUGAGGCAGCGGCGGCGCCGAGGAGGAUCCGAUCCGUGAAGGUGCGGCCGGUCCCCGCCGCUGUGCAUUGUCCGGGAACACCAAAGAGCAGGAGCGGGGUCGCCUGAAUUAGCCGCGUCGGUGAAUCUCAUUAUGCUGGGUCUUACCGCCUUCUUCUCGGUUGCCACCUGGGGCUCCUCUUCGCCUAUAGGAUGCAUGUCCAGAGAGGCAGUGGUCCAGGAGAGCAAGCACAAACACUGAAUGAAAUGCUAAUAUAUUCAAAGUCACAUUUUCAUAAAUAAAUAUUGUUUAUCAUAACAGCUGUGCUGUCACCCUGCAGUGGACAUAAAGCACCUGUAGCCUUCCCUCCAACAGAAAUAACAGCUGAAGGAAGCACUAAAAGACUAAAUAAAUGAAUAAAUGUUGUUUUA